rnacentral:lncRNA from 1 species
UAUAAGUCAUAAUAGUGAAAUGUUUUAGUGAUUUUUAUUAAUAGUUAAGUAAGGAAGGUCACUUUUAUAAAUACCCUCAUUUUCAAAAGAAAUAAAUGGAAACUUUUGAUGCUCAAAGGAAGUGUUCGCUAGAGCAUUUCAGAUUUUGGAUUUUUGGAUUAGGAAUGCUCAACCAGUAAGUAUAUGAUACAGGUAUUUCAAAAUCCAAACAACUCCAAAAUUCAAACACUUCUGGUCCCAAGCAUUUUGUAUACGGCAUACUCAGGCUGUACAAUGUUAAAGGAUAUUUGUUUUUUCUUUUUCUUCCAGUUUGUGCAGUUCUAGAUGCUACUGCUAUGAACAUUCUUAUCUUUUGGUGAAAAUGAGCAUCUUUUUUGAAAUUUUAUCUUCUGUUAUUGAAAUAUGUAAAUAUAGCCAAUUUUUAUAUGUUGACCAUGUAUCAGGCAAUUCUUAUUUCCAAUAUCAAAACAAAAGCCUUUAAUUUUUCACCCUUCAGUAUGCUGUUUAUAGUUUUUUUUUGUCAAUUAAGAAAGAUCAAGUUAAGGAAGUUUUCUUUUGUCCUGUUUUGCUAGGAGCUUUGUUUUUUAAUUCAUAAUUGUAUAUUGCUUUUUUCUGUAUCUUUUAAGAUAAUCACAUGAUUUUUCCCUUAUAUUCCAUUACUGAUUGAUUUUAAAAUGUUAAACAACCUUGCAUUUCUCGAAACAUUUCAGUUAGGUUGUGAUGUAUUACUCUUUUUAUAUGUUAGUGGAUUUCGUUUCUCAAUUUUUUAGAAUUCUGAAGUUUUUAGAAUUAUUCUAUUUCCUCAUGUAAAAAAGUUUUUCGAAUUUUGCAUCUUUUUUCUCUUAAAGAAUUUGUCAGGUUUUUAAUAAUCAAAAUCAUUCCGUUCUUAUGACUAAAAUGGGAGAAUGUGAGAUUGUAAGAACGUGACUUUUUCAACCAUUUUAAAUCUUUUCCUUUAUAUAACUUUCUUUUUUGGAAUAGCUGAUUUGCAUUGGUGUGAUUUUGUUCUCUAAUGUUAGGUAGAAUUUGAUCGUGAAACAAUCUUGGUUUGCAGUUUUCUUUUUGGGAAGAUUGUAAAUUGUGAAAUGAAAUGACUUUUUUUUUUUUUGAGACAGAGUCUUGCUCUGUUGCCCAGGCUGGAGUGCAAUGGCAUGAUCUCAGCUCACUGCAACCUCUGCCUCCCGGGUUCAAGUGAUUCUCCUGCCUCAGCCUCCCAAGUAGCUGGGAUUACAGGCGCCUGCCACCACGCACAGCUAAUUUUUGUCUUUUUAGUAGAGACAGGGUUUCACCAGGUUGGCCAGGCUGGUGUCGAACUCCUGAUCUCAGGUGAUCCACACCCGUCUUGGCCUCCCAAAGUGCUG